GGAUUAGAUACCCUGGUAGUCCACGCCCUAAACGAUGUCUACUAGUUGUCGGGUUUUCAUUAACUUGGUAACGCAGCUAACGCAUGAAGUAGACCGCCUGGGGAGUACGGCCGCAAGGUUAAAACUCAAACGAAUUGACGGGGACCCGCACAAGCGGUGGAUGAUGUGGAUUAAUUCGAUGCAACGCGAAAAACCUUACCUACACUUGACAUGUCAGGAACUUUUCAGAGAUGAAUUGGUGCCCGAAAGGGAACCUGAACACAGGUGCUGCAUGGCUGUCGUCAGCUCGUGUUG
rnacentral:rRNA from 1 species